rnacentral:rRNA from 1 species
AGUGAACGCUGGCGGUAGGCCUAACACAUGCAAGUCGAACGGCAGCACAGUAAGAGCUUGCUCUUACGGGUGGCGAGUGGCGGACGGGUGAGGAAUACAUCGGAAUCUACUUUUUCGUGGGGGAUAACGUAGGGAAACUUACGCUAAUACCGCAUACGACCUACGGGUGAAAGCAGGGGAUCUUCGGACUUUGCGCGAUUGAAUGAGCCGAUGUCGGAUUAGCUAGUUGGCGGGGUAAAGGCCCACCAAGGCGACGAUCCGUAGCUGGUCUGAGAGGAUGAUCGGCCACACUGGAACUGAGACACGGUCCAGACUCCUACGGGAGGCAGCAGUGGGGAAUAUUGGACAAUGGGCGAAAGCCUGAUCCAGCCAUACCGCGUGGGUGAAGAAGGCCUUCGGGUUGUAAAGCCCUUUUGUUGGGAAAGAAAAGCAGCAGGUUAAUACCCCGCUGUUCUGACGGUACCCAAAGAAUAAGCACCGGCUAACUUCGUG